rnacentral:rRNA from 1 species
ACAGCCAUAUCAUCCUGAAUGCGCCCGAAUCUUGUCUGAUCUUAGAAGCUAAGCAGGAAUGGGUCAGGUUGGUACUCGGGUGGGAGACAUCACAGGUGUAAUAUGAUGACAUGUGUU